rnacentral:rRNA from 1 species
AGCGAACGCUGGCGGCAGGCCUAACACAUGCAAGUCGAACGAACCCUUCGGGGUUAGUGGCGGACGGGUGAGUAACACGUGGGAACGUACCUUUAGGUUCGGAACAACACAGGGAAACUUGUGCUAAUGCCGAAUGUGCCCUUCGGGGGAAAGAUUUAUCGCCUUUAGAGCGGCCCGCGUCUGAUUAGCUUGUUGGUGAGGUAAAGGCUCACCAAGGCUUCGAUCAGUAGCUGGUCUGAGAGGAUGAUCAGCCACACUGGGACUGAGACACGGCCCAGACUCCUACGGGAGGCAGCAGUGGGGAAUCUUGCGCAAUGGGCGAAAGCCUGACGCAGCCAUGCCGCGUGAAUGAUGAAGGUCUUAGGAUUGUAAAAUUCUUUCACCGGGGAAGAUAAUGACGGUACCCGGAGAAGAAGCCCCGGCUAACUUCGUGCCAGCAGCCGCGGUAAGAUCACGUGUA